rnacentral:lncRNA from 1 species
ACUCCCAAGGAAAGUGACGCCUGAGAGAAAGAGCCAUUUGUUUGUCUUUUUAAUUUCAGCUUCUUCCUAAAUAAGACAGCCUUUUAGAAAGACUUUCACAGUGUCAGAUGGGGUAACACAUAGAAAAGGCACGGAGAAGUUAAGUGAUUUGCCUGUGGUCACAAAGCCUGUUAGCAGCAAACCCAGAACAAGAACCUAAGAUUUAUGACCGCCAGUUCCAGCUGUUUUUCUUCGUCAUGUAUCCUCAGCAAUCAACAUAAUCAAAAUCUGUUUGGAGACUACUGAUUUGUAUAAAGGAAGAUAACACCGAACAACCAAACAGGAAGUAAUCCAGCGAAUCUGGAACAGCGGUGGAAUUUAGAAGCAAGGCCAGAUGAGGACCCUAAGACCUAGAGAAACUAAGUCAUUUGCUCAAGAAGACAAAGGCAUCGUCUGGUCCAGUUCAGCACAGAGCUAGCUGCAAGUGACAACCUAAGAGAAAAGUCAGCGAGAACAAAGAUCCAUCUCUUCGUUGACUGCCUUAAUCCCUAGAGCUGUGUUCUUCAAUUUGUUACUAUUUGCUACAAUUUUUCUGCCUAACAAGCAAGUUCUAUCCUGCCUAGGAGAGAAACUUUUAGUAAAUUCAUCUUCAUUCACUACUAUUCAGCUCAUGCUGUAAAAACUUAGAUAAUGCUGUCUGAAAUACUUAACUCCUGGUCAAAUGCAGCUGCUAUUUCAUUCAGUAUAAUCAAAGAAUAGCCAAGGACUUUAGUUAAUAUUUCUUCAGAUGAUAGAGAAUAAACAAAUUGUUUUGGAUAUAUCUACCAUGCCCUCCAAACAUGAUUGUUGAUAUCUUUUCUAUAUAAAUUACUUUCCUACAUAAAUGGUACUUAGCUUUUCCUUGAAAGAUAUGCUCUUCUCUCCAGCUCAAAGAUAACCCUCUUUCCCUCAAAUUAUAAGUAAUUUAUAUUUAAUAAUCUUUCAUACGAAUUUUUAAAAUUACAAAUGGUAAGGUACCACUAUUUUUUAUUUUGUAACAGCACAAACCAUCAAAUCAGAAAAAAAGAAAGGUUGAGUAUGAUCUCUGAAAAAUGAAUUCUAGUAGCAUGUAUAGCAAAAAUCAUCUUAGAAUGAAUAGAAGCCCUGAAUAACUCAAUGACCACCAGGCUUGUCUGCAUCCACGUUCUACUUGGUUAACUGUUAAAUAAUAUCUAACUUGUUGCAUUGUAAAAACAACAUGUGUCUGUAAACUGAAAAAUAGAUGUUAUUAUCCACCUGGUUUAGUCAUAAUGGAGAAAUGUCCUUCAGUUGCAUGAUGCUCUUCCUAUGAAUGAGGAAACCAGAUCAACAUUUCCAUUCAAGUUCUAGCUUGCCUAUAACAUUUCUUAGCUCCUUUUGCAAACCAAAAGUGGCAGCAGUUGUAACUGAAUUAGUCUAACUGCUCAGACACAUGCAUUUCUGUUUGGUUGCUCUGGUCUCUUCUUGAAGGCCAAGUGCUGUGAUCAUUUAUCAUCAUCAGAAUUGGCUGCCAUAACUCAGUGUUCCCGGGACCUGCAGUGGGCAGAGCACCAGCACAACCCGUAGAAAGCAGCUCCAAGAUCAGCACCCUCUCAUAAACCUACCGAGCCAGGAGCAUCUUCCAGGCCCUCCACUCUCAGGAGUUUCAAGGAGAAAACAAAAUGCUGAGGACUGGGAAUGAGAAGCUUCAACCUUGCACAAUCUCUACAUUUUGCUUUACUCCCAAGAGGGACGAAUGAAGAAUGUUGUUAUUGAUGCUAUGACCACUUCUCUCCCAUAUUGUGCCCAGUAAACAUGGUCUUACUCAUUAUUGAAAUACUAGCAUUCUUCUAUAAUGGUUCGUACACAGCUGCUGCCCAGAGCACUGAAUAACACAUACUACCAGGUGUCAAACCCAGAUUUCCCCAGUCUCUCCUUAAUUUCCAGCAAUAAAAAGAUUAGCCUGGCACAGCAGGUCUUCAGACCCUUUCUGAUUUUGAAUAGUGAUUUGAACACCUCUCCUAGCUGUGUCCCCUUUGGGUUUAAGAAUAAGAUAGAAGAUAUAUUGCUUUCCAUUUUAAAAUGUUUAACUUCUAUUCAAGAAUAAAUAUUGAUGAAGGGCAUCUAGGUACUAGUGAUUUUUCCUGAUGUCCAUUUUGUGAACUUCACAGAAGACUUUGAUUUCACCUUAAACCAAAGAAAACGUUCACAGAUAUCUUAUAAAUCUACUAUUUUUCAUGAUUAUAAUAACCUGUCAUCAUGACAAGCCAUGUUCAUUAACAAAAGAAAUCAUAGGGGCAGCUUCUAUUGGGCACUUAACUCCUUCAUCCAUGAAAUUAUACUUUAUGUGAAUUUAUUUUUGGAAAGUUCAGGUAGUUUAAAUUUUAAAUAUAUAGACUAGAAAGAAAUUGGGACCUUAAAAACUAUUUUACAGGAAAAAUGUUUCUGCCUGUCCUCAUAUUUCCUUCUUUUUUUUUUUUAACAGUGUUAGAUUUCUGCAGAACUAAUACCCUUUAAAUACUCUUGUCACACUUCAGAGGACACUAUGCAAAUUCUCAGAGGCCACACAAUUUCCAGGUAUAUUGUGAGGCCUCUGAUAAGAUUUGUAUACUGUUGACACCUACUUAAUAUAUGGAUAAAUAAAUCUCCAGUAAAAUACAAAAUAAAUAGGAUUUCUAUCCACAAACAACAAGGUUGCAACCACAAAAGUGAAAUCUGCACAGACAGAAAAAGAGCUCUGUCAUGUUGAGUAUUUCUUGACCUCGCAGUGAGUCAUAGAUUUUCUUUUUGUUCUAAGACUGGAAAAACACCAGGAUAAGAAACAUUUUGGAAAACUAUAGAAAACAACUGGAUCCAAGCUCAAGUCCUCAGAGAUAACAUCCUGUACUUAAAAUCUUUAAGUUGUUAUAGAGGGGAGUAUGUGUAUGUGUGUGUGUAUGUGUGUGUGUGUGUGUGUGUGUGUGUGAGAGAGAGAGAGAGAGAGAGAGAGAGAGAGAGAGAGAAAGGAGGAGGAGGAGGAGAUGGGAGUGGAAGGUAAACAGCAGCAGAAAGAAAACAUGUGCACUCAUGUUUUCUUCAGAUGCUUCUUCAGAUGAGUCCAUCAGGAGGAGGAGGAGGAGAUGGAGAUGAUGAUGGGAGGGGAAGGUGAACAGCGGCAGAAAGAAAACAUGUGCACACAAUGAUGCUUCUUCAGAUGAGUCCAUCUUCCUAAGUGUUGGUGGGAACACUGAUCAUAGAUUUAAAAAAAAGUUUGUGUUUCUACUUGCAUUUUCAUCAGGAAGUUACAAAACAUCUUGGAAUAUUUGCAUUUCUUUCUAUUUGACUGCUCAGGAUGUGUCUUCGUGACAUAAGUCAUUUUCAGCCAUGUUUACCGGAUGUUCCUCUUCUCUCAGAGAACACCAUUCUUUUGCUUUAGAGUUAACACGGUGUUUUCCCACCCCCUACUGCAUAUGCUCCCACCCCCUAUUGCAUACUGCUCAUAGUAACCAGCAGAUCUGUUUGGGGUGAUGAUGAAAUCGCCAGGAGGCACAGGUGGCUUUUGGGCUCUGAUCCUAAUGGGACUGUGGAGCUCAUCCUGGAGCUCAAGGCUAGAGCAAGACACCGCGGAAAAACUAACUUUCUGGGGUUUUGAUAACCACAGCAUCCUGGGUUGACUGGCCUAUUACUAUAGUAGGAGCCUGAUGAUUCAGACAUAUAACAUCACUGUCCAAAGCCUCUCGAAGUGGGAUAAGGCAUCAAGUUUUUGCUUGAGAGCUAGAGCAUGGCUAUCAUAGUAGAAUUAAGGAAUAGAUACAUUUAUUACCUCAAAGUGCCAUUCCAGAGGGACCCAGAAAUGGUUAUUGUAAAAUUGAGUUAUACCAUAGACUGUUCCCAAAUACUGUAUGCGUCCAAGGCUUAGUUACCUCCAUUAUAAGCAGUGUGACUGCUCUCCUCACAGAGGACUAUAAAAAUUAAAGAAUCAUCAAGAAUUUGCAAACACAAGCUCAUGACAAACAUCUAGCAGUUAUGUUAGACAUAAAUGAUCUUUUUCUGGUAGACAAAUGGAAAAGAAGUAUAUUUUAUUGGAUUCUUAUGACUACGAAGAGCCCAACCAGGUUGUGAUUGUCUGGCUUCCAUUUACCAAAUCACAAAUUCUCACAACUGGCAGUAGGUGCCUUAGAGAGCAUCUGGUUCAAAUAUCUUACAUGGUGGAUGAGAAAAUGGAGGUUCCAAUAUAUUAACUUACUUGCCUGGGGUAAUACAGCUUGUUUAUGGCAGUGUCAGGACUAGAUGCCCAGGUUUUAUGAUGCCAUAACUAGUUUCUUUCCCAGAAGUCCAGAUGAACCUAAAACCUAAAAUUGGUAUCUAGGAGAAGGAUGGUAAAGAUGUCACUCUGAGUCCUGAUUGAUUGGUAGGAAACCCUAGCUGACUGGCAGAAAAUCCUGAUGUAUGUGUUAAGAAGGAUUUUGGAGUCAUACUCAGGCUUAUCAGAAAAGGGUACUCAGGGUCAAAUACAAUUUCUAUAAGGGGAAAAAGAAAAAAGGAAGAGAGGCCAGGUUUCACAGUUUCCUGAUCUUAGAGCAUCCAAUUAUUUUACAGGCAUGUUCAGAUGUGUUUGAACAAUAAAUGAUUAGUAGUAGGAACUGAUUUUGUAAGAUUCAUGAGACAGGACCAAAAAAUAAAUAAAUUUACAUAUGGUGAUCAAAUAUUGCUAAGUCAAUAAGCUCCUUCUAUUUGCAUAGGCUGGGAACCAAGAUUAGAAGACAGACACUUAUUUCUCAGUAACCCAUACUGUAGCAAUGGGACAAUCAUUUAGCCAUCCCUAUGUGAUCGUGGUCAUUUUAUAGGAGCAUACUGCUUUAACUUUUUGAAGUGCUUUUGAAAUGGGAAAGGUUCCCUUGUCCCCCUCACAGGGCGUGUGACAGGGGGAGUGGCUCGCUUCUUCAGUGCCCCACUGUUCAAACCUCUAGGAGAGCCAUAUAGAUGCCAGCUUGUGGGGUUCCAACCCCAGGGCAGUGUCUAGGGGUGGAUGUUUACAGCUCCUGAAGUCCCACUGAGCAUGUGCUACUGUGUGCUCUUUUAGUUUUGCCAUCUAUAGGUGGCUUUUUGUUAACCAGCUCAAUUAGACCCUCUACCUUUUCACAAAGACAGAGGGCUUUCUGUAUCCCGGGCUCUUGCCUUGGUGUACCGGAAGAAUCAAAUCACACCUCAGCUUGGAGAAUGAGUACAAGGUUUUAUUGAGUGGAAGUAUUUCUGAGCAGAUGGGGGAAGCCAGAGGGGGAUGGAGCGGGAAGGUUUUCCUCUGGAGUCAGGACACUGAGCGGCCUGGGUUCUCCUCCAACCAUCCCAGCCAAACUCUGCCUCUUCUGCCAGGUCGAUGGCCUGCAGACCUGCUGGUGCCUGUCAGUGCAUUCCUCUCGGCAUCCAGCCACCCGUGUGUUCCUCCCCUGUUGUGCUCUUCUCAAAGUUUGUCUGCCUGCUAGGGUCUCAGGAUUUUUAUAGGCACGGGAUAGGGGCAUGGCAGGCCACGGUGGUCUUGGGAGAUGCAACAUUUGGGCAGGAAAAUAAAAAUGCCGCACCUAGGUCCGUGGGCACAGGCCUGGGUUAGAGUCCUAGCCAGGGACCACACCGUUCUCUCCUUCUGUAUCACUUUCAAUGCUUUUUCUUAUAUGAUAUCUAGAGAGCAAAGAAAUGCACUACCAACUGCUAAAUUUCAUGGCACCUACUGUAGGUUAAAAAAAAAAACAAACAGAAAACAAAACAAAAAACCAGCCCUUGAAGGAGAGAAAUGGAGGAAGGGAAUUUUGUUUAAUUAGAAACUCUCCAGAAGUAAAGGCAAUGAACACAUAGUACUUCAAAAGAUCUGUUAAUGAAUGUUUAAUUCAGAUAUUCAGAUGGAAACUUCUCUAUCAAUAAGAAGUGACUAAAUGGAAUAGAUAAGUUUUCGUUCACAUUUCAUUUUUCAAGAAAACCUGCUUUGAGAUUCUCUUCAUACUUCAUGGUUAGUUGCUCGGCAGUCCAAGCUAUGGAGUGGUACAAUGGCUUUAGAGUUGACAGCGGGCCUAAAUGAGAAACCAAAGUUCAAAUCAAGACGUCUAAGUAUUAUCUGAAUCAUUACAAAAGUCUGCAAUUAAUUCUCUGCACUGCUGAUGUCUGUCUUUCAUCUAGUGAACAGAGAAAAAGGAAAUUCAAUAGGAUGUACUCUUUAUGUCAAUUGGAUGAGAAAAUUUCCCACUGCCUGAAAAGCAUGCUGAUACUAAAAUAUACCACAGAAUACAUUUCAUUAAGAGUUAUUAUCACUGUGAUCACAAUGACCAAGAACUCCACAAAGAAUUAACGUCAUUUGGCCGAUACCUCCUCAAAUGGGUCCACUGGAUUCAUGUUUUUCAAGGUAUUGUUCCCAAGCAUCUCUAGCAGAAUGACCUGAAGUGCUUUUCCUGCUGAAAAUGACAAAAUUAAAUUCACUGAAUCUGAACAUCUGAAGGUGGUUUCCGGGAAUUUAAUAUACUCCUAGGUGAUUCAUAUGUUCACUGAAGUCUGAGAACAGUUAUACUAAUUUCUCUAUGAAUCAAACUGAUAUAGUUUGAGAUACCAAAGAUACAAGCAAGGAUUCUUGUCUUUAAUAAUAUGGUAAAUCAGAAAAAAAAAGGCCCAGUUUUCUGUGUGUUUCAAGCAUAUGGAUGUGAGGAUGGGCAUCAGCUAACAGAACUAGAGAUGUCAUUUUUUCUUUCCCAAGACCAUCUCUUCAGGUGAGAAGAAGCUUGUCUUUAUCCUGCAGCAAGUCAUGAUUAGCAAAUCAAGGUCUCUUACAACACCAGAAAUCACAACUUUCUCUCUUUUCUUUGAACUCCUGGCUUCUAAACUAUUGAUUGAUUGAUUGAUUGAUUGAUUGAGAGAAUCUUAUUCUGUAGUGAUAAUAGCUCACUGCAGCCUCAAACUCCUGGACUCAAGCAAUCCUCCUGCCUUAGCCUCUUGAAUAGCUGGGACUACAGGUGCACAUCAUCAUGCUUGGGUAAUUUUUUAAAAAAUUUUAUGGGCCAGGUGGCAUAGCUCAUACCUGUAAUUCCAGCACUUUGGGAGGCCAAGGUGGGCGGAUCACUUGAGCCUAGAUGAGUUUGAGACCAACACAGCAAAACCCUGUCUCUGCAAAAAUUGAAGUAAAAUUUUCAAAAUUGCUUGAGCUUGGGAGGUUGAGGCUGCAGUAAGCCAUGAUCGUACUACUGUACUCCAGCCUGGGUGAUAGAGCGAGACCCCCUCUCAAAAAAAUAAAAAUUUUUUUUACGGAGUCUUACUCUGUUACCCAGGCUGGUAAACUUUCCUGACACAAUAGAUAUAGAUAGAUUAGAUGAUAGAUAGAUAGAUAGAUAGAUAGAUAGAUAGAUAGAUAGAUAGAUACCACAGGAACACCAGCAAUAAUAAAACUUAGCAACCUAAAAGCUUCUCAUUAGCUUUGUUUUAUGGGGUUCAUUUGAAUUGCCCACAAUGUUAAAAGGGAAGCAGUCACAUCCUGAAUACCCUGAAUUGUAGAGUGGCUGCUUUCCUCAAUUCUUUCUUCAUUCUUCAUUUUCAUUGCUUUACUUUCACUUUUUAUGAACUCCUAUGCUCCUGAAUACAAUGGAUCUCUCUAAAAUCUCUUGGUCUCUUAGAAAAUAUCUCCUUCCCCUCUCAUUAAAAAAAAAAAUGAAAAGUCUUGAUUUUGUCUUGCUGACAAAAAAUAAGCAAUCUCUGUUCUUGAUUCCACCAGCUAUGGGUACAGGGUUGGCUACUGUCAGACCCACUAAAUGAUAACAUCAAGCAAGCCCAGGAGAAAGCAAUUGUAAGUUAGAAGUGGUACCUACUGAAUUAGGCAUGAGCUGGGCCAGAGGACACGGCAUGCUUGUAUCUCACCAGGAGGUAGCCCAGAUCCCCAAAGUUCACCAGUAUUGCACCCACACUUUUUUCUCCUCAGCUUACAUAGAGCUUUAGCCACAUAAAGGAUUCUUUUCUUUGCCUUUUCUUUUCUUUUCUUUAUUUUUUUUUUUUUGAGACUGAGUCUCGGUGUGUCACCCAGGCUGGAGUGCAGUGGCACAAUCUCUGCUCACUGUAACCUUCGCCUCCUGGGUUCAAUUGAGUCUCCUGCCUCAGUCUCCCAUGUAGCUGGGAUUACAAGUGUGCACCACCACACCCGGCUAAUUUUUGUAUUUUUACUACAGAUGGAGUUUCACUGUGUUGGCCAGGCUGAUCUCGAACUCCUGACCUCAGGUGAUCCUGAGUGCUGAGAUUACAGGCGUAAGCCACCACACCCAGUCCACAUAAAGGAUUCUUUAUGACCACAAAAAAUAGGAGGAUAAAGCUUCAGUUUGGUUCAUAGAUGGGUCAGCUCAAUAUCUCUGUGAAAGAUGACAAUAAACUGCUGUUACACUACAGCUUCACUCUUAUGACACUUAAAAUCAUGGUGAAAGGAAAUCCUACCUAGGGACAAAACUUUGAGUGGUACACCUGGUCAUCCACUUUAUGUAGAAAGAAAAAUGACCCAUGAUAAGAAUAUGUGUGGACUGAAGAGCAGUGGCAAAUGGCUUGCCUGAUGGGUCAGGGCCCAGGAGAGAGAUUAGAGGACUGUAGAGACAAGGCAGUCUGGAGAAGAGGCCAGUAGACAGACUUAUGGGAUUGGGCACCAAGUGUGAAGGUCUGUGUAUUGAAUGAUAAUGUCCGCUGCAGGGCAUCCUACAUGGAGGAAACACUAAAAACAAAGUAGACAGAGUACUCGGGCUGACAAAGCCGGGCUGACAAAGCCGGGCUGACAAAGCAAGGCUGCCACUGGCUACCCCAGGGCUGACACAAAGAGCACAUGAACAGAGUAGUUAUGGUGGCAGAUACAGAGGCCAUGCAUAUGUCCAACAGCAUGAAUGCAUAUUCACCAAGGCGUGUGUAGCUACUGCUGAAUGCCCAACCUGCCAAUAACAGAGACCAACACUGAAUUCCCAAUAUAGUACCAUGCUUUGAAGAGCUAUUAGCUAUUGAUAGCAAAUUGAUUACACUGGACCCCUUUCAUCUAGGAAAGAGAAUUGGUUCAUCUUACCUGAAAUCGAUUAAUAAUAUCGAUAUAAGAUUGUCUUUUCUGCUUGUAUGGCCUCAGGCACUACUACCACCAUAUAAGAUUCUGAAUAACAUGGCUUUGAACCAAGAAGCCCACUUUGUAGCAAGGAGGUGUACUUGUUAGGGUUCUCCAAAGAAACAGAAUCAAUAGGAUGUGUGUGUGCACGUGUGUGUGUGUGUGUGUGUGAUUUAUUAUAAGGAAUUGGUUCAUGCAAUUAUGAUGACUGGCAAGUCCAAAAUCUGCAGAGCCAGUGUCUAGCUUGAGUCCAAAGGCCAAAAGCUUCUGUAGAACCAGGAAGAGCCGAUGUUCCAGUUUGAAGACUAUCAGGCAGGGGAAUUAUCUCUUACUCAGGGGAGGGACAUCCUUUUGUUCUCUUCAUGCUUUCAACUGAUUGGAUAAGGCCCAUCUACAUCAGGGAGGGCAAUAUGUUUUACUCAGUCUACCAAUUUAAAUGUUAACCUCAUCGAAAACACCUUCACAGAAACACCCAGAAUAAAGUUUGACCAAACAUCUAGGCACCCUGUGGCCCAUUUAAGUUGACAUAUAAAAUUAACAAUCACAGAGGGUGUAGCAGUCAUAGCAGUGGGCAUGUGGUUAUGCAAGUCACGUGCACACAGAAACUGCCAGUUGGAUAGAGUAACAGAUGGCCUUUUUAACAGCAUAGACAAGGCACCAGCUUGAAACUGAUACUCUGAGGUACACCUUAAAUCAAUGAAGUUUAUAUGGUGCUAUGUUUCCAAGAGGUAAACUAUGUGGGUGCAGAGACAAGUGGUAGAAGAGAGUGGCUCUGCUUCUAUGUACCCACUUGAAGAAGUUAUGCUUCCCAUAUCUGCAAUUCUAGGCAUUUUUGGUUUAAAGGUCCUGAUUGCUAUAGGAGUAAUGUGUCCACCAGGGACAGUGGAAUUUCUGAUUCCUAUUAACUUUGAGUUGUGGCUGCCAUCUGGUCAUUUCAGACUUUUAUUUUUUUUCUUUUAAGGUAGAGUCUCGCUCUGUCACCAGGCUGGAGUGCAGUGGCAAGAUCUUGGCUCACUGCAACCUCUGCCUCUCGGGUUCAAGCAAUUCUCCUGCCUCAGCCUCCUGAUUAUUUGGGACUACAGGCACGUGCAACCACACCUGGCUAAUUUUUGUAUUUUUGGUAGACACAGGGUUUCACCGUGUUGGCUAGGAUGGUCUUGGUCUCUUGACCUCGUAAUCCACCUGCCUCAGCCUCCCAAAGUGCUGGGAUUACAGGCGUGAGCCACCGUGUCAGGCCCUAUUUCAGACUUCUUAUACCAAAAGAUUGGCAAGCUACAGAAGGAAUUACUAUCCUGGCAGAAGUAAUUGACCCCGGUGAUCAGGCAGAGGCAGGUCUUCCACUGGGACAGGAAGCCUUACAUGGAGGCAGGGAAGAAUACAUUUGACCACCUGGCAAUCCAUUGGGACAUCUCUUGGUACUACCCUGUCCAAAUUGGCAGUAAAUUGAUAAGUGCAACAGCCAUCAUCUGAAAAGGCACAGUGGCCAGGGGAUCAGACGCUUUAUGGAUAAGUGUCUGAGUUGCCUCAAUAUUUAAGCCAUCUAAACCAGAAAAGGUGGUAACUAAGGGUGAGUUGGUGGAGGCGAGAAGUGACGAAUGUCACCUGAGCUCCUUAGGCUAAGUACAGAAACAGGGCUAGAGCUUAUCUUAGUGAUACUCUUAUUUUAAAUUUUCCCAGGGAAAGGGACUAACUAGAAUCCUGAAGGAGCUGUCUUUGAUGGGGUAAAUGUUUUUUAUAUGAGUAAGUGGAUUUGAGCAGCCCAAGGGGUGGACUAUAGUGGAUGCUGUGGUUUGAAGGCCAUAUUCUCCCUUUAAGAAUGGGACACCUAUUUGCCUAUGUCAGGACUGUAGCCUACUUUCAGCUCAUAGCUGAAUUGCUUUCCAGAAAUUUCCCUUGCCCAAGAGUUCUGUCUCAUUCAAAUAUAUGUUCCCCUCUCCCCAAGAACAGUCCUCCUCCAAUGACUGCUCACCUGAGGGGAAAGGAAGUACAAAGGCCUGGGGCCCUUACCUUAAUUCAGGACAAAUCUGAAAGGCAAUCACAGCUUCAUAGCUGAGACCAUAGUUGUGACUAUAUCACAGUUUAGUUUCUUCCUCUGCUUAAUUUUGCUUCCUUCCAGUAAACUUUCUGUUCACAAAUAACUGUCCCAGAAUCUGUUUCCAAGGAACUUAACCUAAGACGAUAGGACAUAUUAGUGACCAUCCAAAGAGGCCUUAAUUUACUUUCACAUGAAGUCAUUUAAAAGCACACACACACACAAAAAUCCGCUUCCAUUAUGGCACAACUUAUUAUGGUACAUCUUUUCAGAUAUAUGUGGGGCCUCCCUGGCAGCAUGAGCUGAUGAAAUAAAUGAAACAGCUCUGUCAGUACCUGUAAUUCACAGAGUUCUUGGUGCAAAUGUCAUUUAAAAUAACCAGCCUCUAAGUGGAUUCCACCUGAUUCAGAUAUUUAAGUUUUCUCUCUAGGCCAUUCUGAACUAAGAAUUAUCUUAGGUUCAUCCAAAAGAUGGAUUUGGGAACUGUUGCUGGGUUCAUUUUAUGGGUCCAAAGUAGAGCAAGUUCUGUUGUCAGAGCAUUUAGAAAUAUGGAUAUGUUUGCUUCUUUUCUACCUCAUUACCAAAAUAUAUAGGAUUAUUUGUAGCUUCAAAAAGUGAGAUAGAUAAAUCCCGCUGUGUUCAAAGUUUAACAGGUAUCUCAAACUGUUUUUCAAAUUGACUUGAAAUAUAAAGUCACAAAGCCUCAAGGCAAAUGUAAGCUGAAUCUUGCUGACUCUUUUUAAAAUGUCCAAAUACUGCUAUUUUUUAAAAUGUCUGGAACAACUGGUGAUAUUUCAAGAGGAAAAAAAUUGGAAAUUUUUUUUCUUUAGGCAGAAGUGAAUUAUUUCAAGCUCCAAGUGGUUCCAAAUUCCAUGGAGCUCCAGAGACUGGGUUUCCUGAGAUUUCUAGCGGGCACAGUACUUGGCAUAAUAAACUUUUCUCCUGCUCCAUUCCCUCCACCUCAAAUAGCCACGUGCCCUCUAACCAGCCCUGGAGACAGACCUCAGUGUUGAAUGAUGGAUAAUAGUCAUUUUCACCAAUUCGCUUUAAGAACUAUGUUUAGUUUCCAAAUACUAAAGGAACAGGAACCGCUGCCUUAGGAGAACAGUGAAAAUCAAAACAGUUUAAAUUUCGAAGUUCAAAUUCAUAAUUCUGUGCUGCAGUCUAGUUUCCUCCCCAUAGGAAAUGUGGUAUUACAUACAGUACAAAGGGCUGCACUCACGUGGAAGGGUUAAUCCAAGGCUGUCAGAGCUGAGAAUGACCUUGGAGACUACCCAUUUCUAUGCCUUUCACUUACAGAUGAGACGAAAGGCUCCAGGGAAGUGAUAGCAGAAUGGAGAGGAAAAGAGACACAAAGUUAGACACAUAAAGUUCUUAACUUUGUUCUUAGUUACUUUGUGACCAGCUUAGAUAUUAAGAGCAUUCACUUAUCCAGAGAUUUCUUUUAUUUCUUUCACUUGAGGUCUGCCUCUCAGCCACAAUUCCACUCCACUCUGCCUGCCCUCAACCUUGUCACCCCUUUCAGCAAGCUGACCUCAUUAUUAAGGCUUCAUAUGUUAAAGAAUAUCUCUCAGAGAAGCUACCACAUGUGUUACAGUCUUUUAUGUCAGCCUCUUUUAGGUAAAAUGGAUGAGAGUAAGGCCUGGCUGAUGCUGAUGGGGCAUCAUGCAGAAGCAGAAAGCUGUGUCUCCUCUUUGUUAAUCUUGUAUGCAGGGCCCAACAACCAAUGCCCUCCUUCUCUUGAACAGGACAGAAAGGUCCUGUCUUUGUUUUCUUACCUAAACCAGCCCUAGAGACAGACCUCAGUGUCUCAAGCACUGUGAUGCCUUGGUUUACUUACUCUAACAUGUCAUGCACUAUUUCACGUCCUUCCAAAGGCUUCCUAAGAUUUCAAUCUCUAUGUCAAUCCCCAUCCCCUCUCUUUCUCUACUUUUUCAACUAUACUCUUUUUUUCCAUGAGAAAGGUCAUGUUUCUUUUCUUAAUUCAGUAAAGUUUUAUACAAAAGUCUCUUGUAAUCCUACAUCUAUCUAUAUAUAAUAUAUAUGUUAUUUUAUGUAAUGCCUGAUCUAUGACAAUGUAUAGUCAAUAA